UGACGGUAGUCAUAUGCUUGUCUCUCAGAUUAAGCCAUGCACGUGUAAGUUGAUCCGCAAUGCGGAGAAACUGCGGAUGGCUCAUUAAAACAGUUAUAAUCUACCCGGCUUUUAUUGUGGUUCAGUGGUUGUUUCGACAUCCAGUGUUCUACUCUAUAAGGAUAACCGAGGGAAAUCUGUGGCUAACACUUGCAAUAAAAGGAUUCCUUCUUACCGUUUGGACGUUGACGGGUUCGCCCCGAUGCGCUCAUCUGGCUGAGGGUUUCCUAGACUUACUUGACCAUAAUCCUAGCCUUCGGGCCAGGACAAUACCCGCACGGUUACUACCAUGCGUUCCUAUCGAGGAAGCAGAGUAAUUUUCUAGAUCGACACCGGUUCCUUAGGGUUCCACGUCGACGGACCGGGAGAAUUUCUGACCUAUCAACUAUGAUGGUGGGGUAGCGGCCUACCAUGGUUAUGACGGGUAACGGGGAAUUAGGGUUCGAUUCCGGAGAGGGAGCCUGAGAAAUGGCUACCAUUCCCAUGGAAAGCAGCAGGCGCGUAAAUUACCCAAUUUCGAUUCAAAGAGGUAGUGACAAGAAAUACCGUUUUGGUUUCCAUCUGGAAUCCACAUAUGGAAUGAGUAAGGUUUAAAAUACCCUACAAGGAACAAUUGGAGGACAAGUCUGGUGCCAGCACCCGCGGUAAUUCCAGCUCCAAUAGCAUAUGUUAAAUUUGCUGUAGUUAAAAAGCUCGUAGUUGGAUGAAAUAAUUUCGAGGGUUUCUCGGAGCAGAAGUCUUUACUACGUGUACUGACUAUUGUGUCUUUGAUUCCCGAGGAUUAUUAGUGUCGUUGGAUGCCGAAGGUGUUCCGUGCCUUGGUUCGCCUCGGUCGCGGACCCCUCGUGCCAUCCUUCGUCUACACAUAAGCUUUGAAAAAAUUAGAGUGUUUAAAGCAGGUUUAUUCCUAUAUAAAAUCACAUAGAACUUCGAAAAAGGACAUACUGGACAAGUGGUAUUUAUCCAUCGUUUGUACAUGAUAAAUAGGGACAAUCGGGGUCGUUCGUAUUGAUCCGGGAGAGGUGAAAUUCUAAGAUCGGAUCAGGACGUACAACUGCGAAAGCAUUCGACAAGGAUGUUUUCAUUAAUCAAGAACGAAAGUUAAGGGAUCGAAGAUGAUCAGAUACCGUCGUAGUCUUAACUAUAAACUAUAUCAACCAUACGUUCCGGGACGUUGUUUUGGACUCCCAAAGCGUUAUAUGAGAAAUCUCGAGUAUGAUUCUAGGGGGAGUAUGGUCGCAAGGCUGAAACUUAAAGGAAUUGACGGAAGGGCACAACCAGGAGUGGAAUCUGCGGC
rnacentral:rRNA from 1 species